CCUACGGGUGGCAGCAGUGGGGAAUAUUGGACAAUGGGGGGAACCCUGAUCCAGCCAUGCCGCGUGUGUGAAGAAGGCCCUCGGGUUGUAAAGCACUUUCAGUGAGGAAGAACGCCUGGUGGUUAAUACCCAUCAGGAAAGACAUCACUCACAGAAGAAGCACCGGCUAACUCCGUGCCAGCAGCCGCGGUAAUACGGAGGGUGCGAGCGUUAAUCGGAAUUACUGGGCGUAAAGCGCGCGUAGGUGGCUUGAUAAGCCGGUUGUGAAAGCCCCGGGCUCAACCUGGGAACGGCAUCCGGAACUGUCAAGCUAGAGUACAGGAGAGGAAGGUAGAAUUCCCGGUGUAGCGGUGAAAUGCGUAGAGAUCGGGAGGAAUACCGGUGGCGAAGGCGGCCUUCUGGACUGAAACUGACGCUGAGGUGCGAAAGCGUGGGUAGCAAACAGGAUUAGAUACCCCGGUAGUC
rnacentral:rRNA from 1 species